CCUUCCAUAGCUCAGUUGGUAGAGCGGGGGACUGUUGAUUCCUAGGUCACUGGUUCAAAUCCGGUUCGAAGGA
rnacentral:tRNA from 1 species